rnacentral:RNase_P_RNA from 3 species
AAAGGAGAUCAGAUGAUCGCGCCUUGCCGCCUGGCAAGGGGAGGAAAGUCCGGGCUCCGUAGAGCAGGGUGCUGGAUAACGUCCAGUGGGGGUGACCCUAAGGAAAGUGCCACAGAGAAUAGACCGCCAGAUGCCGGUGUGGAACGGCAGGCCGCUGCACGGGGUAUGCUGGUAAGGGUGAAACGGUGCGGUAAGAGCGCACCAGUCCCGGUGGUGACACCGGGAGCUCGGUAAACCCCACCCGGAGCAAGACCAAAUAGGGAGGCGAUGCUACGAUUUCUCUCACGUGGGAGACCAUGGGUGGGGAAAAGUGGGAUAAGGGUUGCUCGCCCGAUGCCUCCGGGUUAGGUCGCUUGAGGCAUACGGUAACGUAGGUCCUAGAGGAAUGAUCAUCGCCGCUUGCCCAGGCAAGCGGAACAGAACCCGGCUUAUCGAUCUGCUUUGUCC